GUCGCUCCGGGCUGCGCGUCUCCAGGGUACGGCGUCUGGACCUGGAAGUCUGGAGGCACCUCUCCGUGGUUCACCACCCAGCUCUGGAAGUAUGGAGCAUCCUGGUGGCACCGCUGCACGAAGGGGAAAGGUCAGUCCUCCUGUGGGAAAAGGAGAGAUGAGAGGCUCGGGGUCAAUCUGGGCUAAGCCCCGCUGGUGCCAGUGGACCUCCUGGUUCCCCUGACAGACCCUGAGUCAGUGUUGACAUCAGACCCAGGUCAAAUACUCUCAAGGAAAAGGACUUGGGUUUUUUGUUUCAGCCUGCUUUUAGUGACACAAGAGGCAAUGACGUCAAAAAGAGUGAAGUCUUCGUUUCAAAGCUGUCAUUUUUUUAAACCAAAGUCCAACGAUCCCACCGAGAAGAGGAAACACAAAGACCAUUAUCAAGCUCGAAAUGCCAAACAAGUCAUAUCUGUUGUUAAAAUGUUUGUUUUUAUGUGAUAGUAAACUAAAUAUUGUUGGGUUUUAGACUGUUUGCCGGUCAAAAAAAAGCAAUUU